rnacentral:tRNA from 1 species
GACCUCGUGGCACGGCGGUAGUGCGUUUGACUCCAGAUCAGAAGCUUGCGUGUUCAAAUCACGCCAAGGUCG